UGCGCCAUCCGCGGCGCGCGGGGCCGGCACCUUUAAGGAGCAGCGGUGUUGCGUCAUUUCUCCGCGACGCCCUCGCUCCCUCCCCUCGCCCGCCGUCGCCGGAGGCGGCCAAUCAGACGCCUCGUUCCUCUGCCAACCGGGCGGUCCCCGCCCAAGUACAGCGGGCCGACGACCACAGCUGGGAGUGAUCGCUGCAGCGGUGGAGGGGUGUGUGGGGAGGCUAGGACUCAGUGGUUAAGCCCGUGGCCUCUAGAGCCCCGAGUCUCGGCUCUUCCGUUCACUAGCUGUGUGACCAUGGAGAGAGAGAGAAGCGGAAGGUAGAAAGGCCAAAUGCUCAGAUGCGACCAUGCUCCCAACCCAGUGAAGAUCAAGGUCGUGACAGGAAGCUAUUCCACCUCACCUUGGCCUGCAGGGCAAGCCCCAUGCUGUCUGGGGUUUCCCAGGAGGUUGCUAAGGGCAAAUGGGAAUGUGGAAUGUAGCCACCAUUUUGUACAAACAUUAGAUGCUCAAUAAACUUCUAAAGAGUUAGCAAUUUUAUGAGGACCAAGGACCAGAAGAACGUGGUCAGCAUUCCAGAUAAGGCAGGAUGGGGUUUUCGUGGGCUUGGUUCUUUUGCUUCAGCCAACUCAAAGGCUCGAGUAAAGUCUUGGAUCUUUACCCUGAACCAGCCAAGGCUUUGGAGUCACUGGCAGGAAUCAAGAGUGUGUAACUCUGGCAGAGCCACUAGCAGAAGAAUAGAUGGGGAGAAGCAUGUUACUAGUGGAAGGUCCAGACAUUCCAGUUCCUUCUUCAAACGCAGCUCACUAUUUAUGGGUGAAAUGGGAAAAAGGUUUAGGAUUGGCUUCAAAACAAAACGAAGGGAUAGAGGGAAGCGGGUGGGGAUAUAGAUGCAUCAAAAGUGGCUCUGGGUUACUAACUGUCGAAGCCGGGUUGUGCGCACAUGGAGAUUCGCUGUGCUAGUCUCUAUAUUUUUGUGUAUGGUGUAAAAUGUCAUAGUAAGUGAAAAACAAACAAGCAGCUCGAGCUUAUCUUCUCCACCAUACCUGCCGAGUAUCCCUGGGAGCGGUUGACACGCCUUUCUCCAAGUUGUUGCUGUACUUUGAACAUUGCUCUGGCAGGAAACUUAUUAUAAUGGGUUUAUUUAUCCAUGUCACCUGCCAGCUUGUAUAUUUUAGUGUGUCUCAAUUUCCAGGGGCCAAGCACAGUGCCUGGCCCUAGUAAUGCUCAGUGAAUGUUGGAUGGAGGGAUUAAAAAAAAUACCAGGCACUUACUAAACGUUUUCUGAAUUGUAUUCUCUGUUUUUAGUUUGUGUUUGUCUUCUUUCUUAACUGGGUUGUUGUUGGGGUCAAAAAUGAUGUAUACGAUAAACAGAGUUCUCUACACAAUGUAAAUAUUUGAUAAAUUCUUGUUGAUUAA